AUUGAACGCUGGCGGCAGGCUUAACACAUGCAAGUCGAGCGGGGCGGGGGACGGGGGAGUGAGGCCUAGGUAUGUGCCUGGUAGUGGUGGAUAACGUCCGGUAACGGGAGCUAUUACUGCAUCCUAUUAGAUGAGGCUAGGUCGGAAUGGCUAGUUGGGGGGGUAAGGGCCUACCGAGGCGAAGAUCCGUAACUGGUCUGAGGGGAUGAUCAGUCACACUGGAACUGAGACACGGUCCAGACUCCUACGGGAGGCAGCAGUGGGGAAUAUUGGACAAUGGGCGAAAGCCUGAUCCAGCCAUGCCGCGUGUGUGAAGAAGGUCUUCGGAUUGUAAAGCACUUUCAGUUAGGAGGCGUUACCAGCAGAAUAAGCACCGGCUAACUACGUGCCAGCAGCCGCGGUAAUAC
rnacentral:rRNA from 1 species